rnacentral:hammerhead_ribozyme from 1 species
CUUCGAGCUGACGAGUCCCGAAUAGGACGAAACGCGCGUCCUGAAU